rnacentral:rRNA from 1 species
UUCCCUUCGGGGAGCGAGUAGAGUGGCGCACGGGUGAGUAACACGUAGGUAAUCUACCUUUGGAUUGGGAAUAACAACCGGAAACGGUUGCUAAUACCGAAUAAUGCAGCGGCACCUAAUGGUGACAGUUGUUAAAGCGGGGGAUCGCAAGACCUCGCGUCUAAAGAGGAGCCUGCGGCGGAUUAGCUAGUUGGUAAGGUAACGGCUUACCAAGGCGAUGAUCCGUAGCCGGCCUGAGAGGGCGGUCGGCCACACUGACACUGACAUACGGGUCAGACUCCUACGGGAGGCAGCAGUCGGGAAUUUUGGGCAAUGGGCGAAAGCCUGACCCAGCAACGCCGCGUGAAGGAUGAAAUCCUUCGGGAUGUAAACUUCGCAAGAACAGGAAGAAUAAGUAAGAGUUAAUAUCUCUUACGAUGACGGUACUGUUUGUAAGCUCCGGCUAACUCCGUGCCAGCAGCCGCGGUAAUACGGGGGGAGCAAGCGUUGUUCGGAUUUACUGGGCGUAAAGGGCGGGUAGGCGGCCACCGCAAGUCAGUUGUGAAAUCUCCGGGCUUAACCCGGAAAGGUCAACUGAUACUGCGGGGCUAGAGUGCAGAAGGGGCAACUGGAAUUCUCGGUGUAGCGGUGAAAUGCGUAGAUAUCGAGAGGAACACCUGCGGCGAAGGCGGGUUGCUGGGCUGACACUGACGCUGAACUGCGAAAGCUAGGGGAGCGAACGGGAUUAGAUACCCCGGUAGUCCUAGCCUUAAACGAUGAAUGC